rnacentral:lncRNA from 1 species
CUACAACGCCAAUGUUGACUGGGUUGUCAAUGGCAAGGUGUGCAGUGGUGCGGUUCUUGGUCAGCAGCGGUGCGUCGAUGGACUCAUCAGACCUCAUCGAUUGGCUUUGUUGGUUUUUUUUUGUUUUCUUAUUAACAGUGACGAGCAUACAACACCAUCUUUAGAAACGGUGAUUAACAUGGACAUUGAAUUAAAGGUGACUGACUGAAGACCUCUGUUAACCCUUUGUGACCAACUAUGCAAAUAAUUAUUAGUGGACAAACCAAUUCAUCAUCUGUGAUGAAUGUAACCAUCUAGAAAUUUAUAUUGUAGCUGGUGUGCAUGCACUAGGCAUUAUUAAUUGAGUAUUUAAAUUUGUUAUUUGGAUUUAGCUUGUAGAAGUUGUUUCACAGGCUCCAGAUAUUUUUGCACGAUUUUUCUACAUCCCCAAACAUUUUUAUUUUAUUUUUAAAGUGUUUGUUUUUUCCAUUUAAAUUUGAAAUGUGGCCACAUCAGCACUAAGCUGAUUUGAGCAGAUGAAACUUGAGGGGCUUGUAGGUGCCGUAAUUACAACAUCACUCACCUGGCAGCCCCUCAAGUCCCUCCACAGUAAAAGAUACAUAAAGCUAAAACAACUUACAAUUUAGGAUGGAGUAAGGAUUUAAGUUGCGGGCU